rnacentral:rRNA from 1 species
AGUCGAGCGAACGGACGAGAAGCUUGCUUCUCUGAUGUUAGCGGCGGACGGGUGAGUAACACGUGGAUAACCUACCUAUAAGACUGGGAUAACUUCGGGAAACCGGAGCUAAUACCGGAUAAUAUUUUGAACCGCAUGGUUCAAAAGUAAAAGACGGUCUUGCUGUCACUUAUAGAUGGAUCCGCGCUGCAUUAGCUAGUUGGUAAGGUAACGGCUUACCAAGGCAACGAUGCAUAGCCGACCUGAGAGGGUGAUCGGCCACACUGGAACUGAGACACGGUCCAGACUCCUACGGGAGGCAGCAGUAGGGAAUCUUCCGCAAUGGGCGAAAGCCUGACGGAGCAACGCCGCGUGAGUGAUGAAGGUCUUCGGAUCGUAAAACUCUGUUAUUAGGGAAGAACAUAUGUGUAAGUAACUGUGCACAUCUUGACGGUACCUAAUCAGAAAGCCACGGCUAACUACGUGCCAGCAACCGCGGUAAUACGUAGGUGGCAAGCGUUAUCCGGAAUUAUUGGGCGUAAAGCGCGCGUAGGCGGUUUUUUAAGUCUGAUGUGAAAGCCCACGGCUCAACCGUGGAGGGUCAUUGGAAACUGGAAAACUUGAGUGCAGAAGAGGAAAGUGGAAUUCCAUGUGUAGCGGUGAAAUGCGCAGAGAUAUGGAGGAACACCAGUGGCGAAGGCGACUUUCUGGUCUGUAACUGACGCUGAUGUGCGAAAGCGUGGGGAUCAAACAGGA